rnacentral:rRNA from 1 species
UACGUAGGGUGCAAGCGUUAAUCGGAAUUACUGGGCGUAAAGCGUGCGCAGGCGGCUUUGCAAGACAGAUGUGAAAUCCCCGGGCUUAACCUGGGAACUGCAUUUGUGACUGCAUGGCUGGAGUGCGGCAGAGGGGGAUGGAAUUCCGCGUGUAGCAGUGAAAUGCGUAGAGAUGUGGAGGAACACCGAUGGCGAAGGCAGCCCCCUGGGCUGAGAUUGACGCUCAGGCACGAAAGCGUGGGGAGCAAACAGG